rnacentral:rRNA from 1 species
GACGAACGCUGGCGGCGUGCCUAAUACAUGCAAGUAGAACGCACAGUUUAUACCGUAGCUUGCUACACCAUAAACUGUGAGUUGCGAACGGGUGAGUAACGCGUAGGUAACCUGCCUGGUAGCGGGGGAUAACUAUUGGAAACGAUAGCUAAUACCGCAUAAUAUUGAUUAUUGCAUGAUAAUUGAUUGAAAGAUGCUAUUGCAUCACUACCAGAUGGACCUGCGUUGUAUUAGCUAGUAGGUGAGGUAACGGCUCACCUAGGCGACGAUACAUAGCCGAACGGGGAAGGGGAACGGCCAAACCUGGAACGGGAAAAGGCCCAGGAGUCCAAGGGGAGGAGCAGGAGGGAAUCUUCGGCAAUGGACGAAAGUCUGACCGAGCAACGCCGCGUGAGUGAAGAAGGGUUUCGGAUCGUAAAGCUCUGUUGUAAGAGAAGAACGGGUGUGAGAGUGGAAAGUUCACACUGUGACGGUAUCUUACCAGAAAGGGACGGCUAACUACGUG